rnacentral:rRNA from 1 species
GACGAACGCUGGCGGCGUGCUUAACACAUGCAAGUCGAACGGAAAGGCCCUGCUUUUGUGGGGUGCUCGAGUGGCGAGCGGGUGAGUAACACGUGAGUAACCUGCCCUUGACUUUGGGAUAACUUCAGGAAACUGGGGCUAAUACCGGAUAGGAGCUCCUGCUGCAUGGUGGGGGUUGGAAAGUUUCGGCGGUUGGGGAUGGACUCGCGGCUUAUCAGCUUGUUGGUGGGGUAGUGGCUUACCAAGGCUUUGACGGGUAGCCGGCCUGAGAGGGUGACCGGCCACAUUGGGACUGAGAUACGGCCCAGACUCCUACGGGAGGCAGCAGUGGGGAAUAUUGCACAAUGGGCGGAAGCCUGAUGCAGCAACGCCGCGUGCGGGAUGACGGCCUUCGGGUUGUAAACCGCUUUCGCCUGUGACGAAGCGUGAGUGACGGUAAUGGGUAAAGAAGCACCGGCUAACUACGUGCCAGCAGCCGCGGUGAUACGUAGGGUGCGAGCGUUGUCCGGAUUUAUUGGGCGUAAAGGGCUCGUAGGUGGUUGAUCGCGUCGGAAGUGUAAUCUUGGGGCUUAACCCUGAGCGUGCUUUCGAUACGGGUUGACUUGAGGAAGGUAGGGGAGAAUGGAAUUCCUGGUGGAGCGGUGGAAUGCGCAGAUAUCAGGAGGAACACCAGUGGCGAAGGCGGUUCUCUGGGCCUUUCCUGACGCUGAGGAGCGAAAGCGUGGGGAGCGAACAGGCUUAGAUACCCUGGUAGUCCACGCUGUAAACGGUGGGUACUAGGUGUGGGGUCCAUUCCACGGGUUCCGUGCCGUAGCUAACGCUUUAAGUACCCCGCCUGGGGAGUACGGCCGCAAGGCUAAAACUCAAAGGAAUUGACGGGGCCCCGCACAAGCGGCGGAGCAUGCGGAUUAAUUCGAUGCAACGCGUAGAACCUUACCUGGGUUUGACAUGGAUCGGGAGUGCUCAGAGAUGGGUGUGCCUCUUUUGGGGUCGGUUCACAGGUGGUGCAUGCCUGUCGUCAGCUCGUGUCGUGAGAUGUUGGGUUAAGUCCCGCAACGAGCGCAACCCUUGUUCACUGUUGCCAGCACGUUAUGGUGGGGACUCAGUGGAGACCGCCGGGGUCAACUCGGAGGAAGGUGGGGAUGACGUCAAGUCAUCAUGCCCCUUAUGUCCAGGGCUUCACGCAUGCUACAAUGGCUGGUACAGAGAGUGGCGAGCCUGUGAGGGUGAGCGAAUCUCGGAAAGCCGGUCUCAGUUCGGAUCGGGGUCUGCAACUCGACCUCAUGAAGUCGGAGUCGCUAGUAAUCGCAGAUCAGCAACGCUGCGGUGAAUACGUUCCCGGGGCU